GGGCUGUAGCUCAGUUGGGAGAGCGCCUGCCUUGCACGCAGGAGGUCAGCGGUUCGAUCCCGCUCAGCUCC
rnacentral:tRNA from 1 species